rnacentral:rRNA from 1 species
UACGUAUGGGGCAAGCGUUAUCCGGAAUUAUUGGGCGUAAAGAGUGCGUAGGUGGUUACCUAAACGCAAGGUUUAAUCUUGAGGCUCAACCUCAUUCUGCCUUGCGAACUGGGCUACUUGAGUGCAGGAGGGGAAAGCGGAAUUCCCAGUGUAGCGGUGAAAUGCGUAGAUAUUGGGAAGAACACCGGUGGCGAAGGCGGCUUUCUGGACUGUAACUGACACUGAGGCACGAAAGCGUGGGGAGCAAACAGG